GACAGAGGGGCAAGCGUUGCUCGGAAUUACUGGGCGUAAAGGCGCGUAGGCGGCUUUAUAAGUCGGGGUGAAGCCUGUGGCUCAACCACAGAAUUGCCUUCGAUACUGUAGAGCUUGAGACCGGAAGAGGUAAGUGGAACUGCGAGUGUAGAGGUGAAAUUCGUAGAUAUCGAGAGGAACACCUGCGGCGAAGCGGUUGCUGGCUGACACUGACGCUGAUGCGCGAAGCAGGGAGCGA
rnacentral:rRNA from 1 species